CGUUCGGGGCCGCUUGUGAGAGCCUUCAAACGGAACUCACAAGCGGAGCCCCGAACGCAAGUGUGAAAGUAGCCUUAUCUCGCUGAGAUUUAUGACCGUUUUGCUGACUAUCAUGAAUAAUUUAUUUUUAAGGCCCUUUGCUGAUUCUUAGGAAACUUAUCGUCCAGUUAACAUGCAGCCAUUGUUACUAGCUGGCAAAAAAUAUGUAUGCCUGUUUCAUCAUCAUGAAUUUGUUGCUUAGGCAUCUUUUAUAUCGCCUUUUAUAUGCUAUUAUGAAAUUACUUGGCGUCUUUAUAGAAAGGGGUAUUCCGGUAAAGUACCUUAAUUUUUGAAAACCGGUUUUAAGGCUGCAAGCUGUGACCCAACCAGAACCCAUACCUAUACAUAUAACCACAGUUUCAAUUUACCUUGCAAUCCAUUUGUCUAGCCUGCAACACAUGGGACCUGAUCUUCUCUCGCAAAACUUUAGACUACAAUCGCCACAAUCCUUAGCUUUCCUGCUGUGAGUGUUGAUGUUUGGCUGCUUUACGUACAGUCACGCCCCCUCUACUCGGUAAUCACCAGCAUACUCCUUGUUUCACAAGACAUUUAGCUAUAGAAUUGAUAGCAACACACUGAGCAUGCUCGACCUAACAAAGGCUCAGAACUACAGGUCGAUGCCAUGGUAAUUUAUGAGGAAACAGUGGGUAGCAGAGGAGAAGAACUACUGAUCGGUAAAUAUGUGAAAUUUACAUUCUAUUAGGUAAUUAUUGAUUUAGUCUAAAACAUAAGUUAUAUUUAUGGUAACCGGAAUACCCCUUUAUCUUUUAUUGAUUUUCGUUUGCAUGCUCGUUUGCUUCAUAAAUGUGGUGUUCUUGAUGGCACAGAAAAAAUAUCAUGGCUUAAAGCAAACUGUACUAAAGAAAUCAGUUUGUGUAUGCAAACAAGUAUGUAUGGUUCACGUUAAAGAUCAUCAAAAUGAAACCUACUUUACAGUAGUGCAGCAAGUUCUUAGACAAAAAUUAAGCCAACAUAAUGAAUUUCGGGUCACGUUUUUCAGAAUCCCUUAGGAAACAGAGCCUCAAAAUCUGCUGUUUUUGGUUCUUUGAAAGGAUCAAUUUGCCUCAUAAAACAUAAUUUUACAGUUUAAAUUUAAUGUAUGGCAUCAGGUUAAGUUACUUUGGUACAAACUGAAUAAAGCAAUGUUGUAUUAGAAACCAGAUGCAGCGAAUUAUUCACAUUUCUACAAUUUCUUGCAUUUAGAAAAGUGUUGAAUUUAUUUUUGUUUUUUUACAUGGGUACUCUGUAGGAUGUUGUACAGUAGAGAAAAUGUUUCCUUUAAGCAUCUGAUAGACCAUUCUACAGUUUGUGGAUUAAACAGCAAUCUGCAUAACAGCUUAAAAUAUAAUAAACACUAUAUUCUUGACUGAAUUUGUACAGCUCUUGAAUACACUUGUGAGGAAUGACCCCCCAAGUGCAUUGUUUAGAAGCCAGCAGGGGCCUUCAGAGGUGGCCUGAUAUCAAGGUCUACCUGUCCCAAUGAGUCUUGUUGAAAAACAUACUAUAUUUCAACUGCAUAAGAGAUAUGAUUAAGUAGAGGGUAACUCAUUUACUAGACAUAGGCGAGACGACAUUAAAGAAGUUGUCUGAUCUUGCCAUUACUAAGGCAAGAUGAGCCAAAAUCCUCACCACCAGCCGACUGGGAAAUAGUAGAGCACACCGGCGCUGGCUGUUUCUGUAGCUCAUUGUGGUGCGUGGAAGCUACGGAACCGGCAUAGCACAUCAAGCUAUGCUGUUUCUGUAGCUCCUAUGAACCACAAUGGGGAAUACAGAAACUGCAAGCACAGCUACGUGCUGCUAUUUCCCAGCUGGCUGGUGGUCGGGAAUGUGUUUUAUCUCGCCUUGGUAACACUGAAAUGAGAGAACUCCUUUAAUACAAUGCCAGCUUGUAUCAGUCUUUAGAAAUGUGUCAGGGGUGAUAUAUGCAGGUCUUACUGCAAAUCACACCUCCGACCUAUUUUGAAAGGUUCCAUCUCCAGCUGUAAUGCAGCUAGCACCACAAUCUCCGUUUUAAAGUUUAGAUUCUUAGCUUUAACCCCUUCCGACCAGUGUCAUACAUGUACGGCAGAAGUCGGGUCUUUAAAGGAUAGCUCCCCCUCAGGAGCAAACAGUGCCAUAGCCGCCUGGUGCCUGCUGCUUCACAUAGUGGACACCCAGGGCUAAUGUUUCUCUGUGGUAUCGCUGUAAUCAUACUGACCCAGACAAUGAAGGGUCAGUUUCACCGCAUAGGGAACAAUGUAAAAAUGAUACCCAUAAAACUGUAGUGGAACUUUUUUUUUAUUUUUUACCAGCUUUUCUCUACAUUGUGUGCAAAAAUAAACCGUAUCAUUUGAAAAUAUAACUUGUCCCACAAAAAAAAUAAUCCCCCUGCAGCUAUGUGAGGGAAAAAAAUUACAAUUAUGGGCAGACAGGGAGUGGGCAGUAGUGCGGCCCCUGACUUCAGACUAAGACACAGGGACUUUCGUAUAGUCCAGAAAAUACAGUAACUCAUAGAAAACCCCUUUAAACUGAAUCUCUUUAUUAUCUGUUUUAGGAUAUUUUCACAGGGGAUGUUACAUGCAGGUUUGUUUGGUUUUGCUGCAGAUUUUGCCUACGUGCCUUGCAAAGAAUGAAGUCUCUACCAAAUCACAUAGACCUCACAUGUAAUAUAACAAAACAUCACUUUAUUAAAACACAAUGACAAUAAACAUAUAUAAAAUCAUGCGGAUGAGUCCUGUGAUAGAGACCACACUUGGCCAGUAAAGUGCAUCCAAUAUUAGAAAAAGUGACCAGCGCAAAAUGGCAAGAACCAGGAAUUACUGUAGGGAAAACAACUGACUACCAACUGAGUUAAAGGUUGAACCCACAUUAGUUGGCCCAUACGGGUAUCAAAAUUCAAAUGGUGAUCAAUACAGUCUACUGGUGGAGCCAUAAUCAAUGCAUAAAUGCAAAAAUAGACAUAAAUUGAUGUUCCAUACUAACCCAGGGGAAAAAGGGGUUUUCCAGGAGUUUUAUACUGAAUGGCCACCUGCCUAUCAGCUGCUUGAGAAGGCACCAGCGCUUGCAUUAGCACUAUGGCCUUUUUUCAGCCAACCAAGCACAUCGCUGUAAAUUGCAUAGUGGCUAUGCUUGGUAUUGAAUUUCAGCCUCCUUCAUGUGGGAGUCAGACCAGGUGUGUUGUUGAUAAAUCUGAUAAUCUAAAGACUGUAAGCACUGACAGACAUUCUUCGAAGGGUUGUCCUGUCAUCAGACAUGGAUCAGAUCACUUGGACUUGUCUAGUUUGGUGGUUCUCCUGGGAGAUAAGCCAAACAGGCUGGACAAAAAUCGCAGCAGUGGUUUUUGUCUGGCCAAUUCUUGACACAUUUGCUGGGUAGCUCCCAAAUCUCUACCAAACCCCUUUAUAGUCAAUGGGGUCCGGUAGGAAGGCAGUAGUAUCUGGCAGUGCCAGAUCUAGAGAACUCCAGCAGGCUGUUCUCUGCCGGAACAGCCUACUAGAGUUCCCUGUUGCAAGUGUAAGGCCACUUUCAUACUAGCGUUUUUGCUUGAUCCGGCAGGGUUCAGCAAAAAUGCUUCAGUUACUGAUAAUUCAACCAUCUGCAUCUGUUAUGAACGGAUCUGGUUGUAUUAUCUUUAACAUAGCACGGACUGAUCCGUCACGAACACCACUGAAAGCCGUCUCAAUGCCGGAAAAAAAUGCUUCCGUACCCUUCCUGAGGUAUAAAUAUGUGGUCAUGAUGGAUCAGUCUUGCUCUACAUCCUAGGACGGAAAGCAAACUGCAGCAUGCGGUUUGCUCUCCGGUAUGAGCAUGGAACAGAAUGCAUUUUGGAGCAUUCCGUUCUGUUCAGUUACAUUUUGUCCCCAUUGACAAUGAAUGGAAAUUAAAAACGGAAGUGUUUUUUCCGGCAUUGAGACCCUAUGAUGGAUCUCAAUACCGGAAAAUAUUAAUGCUAGUGUAAAAAUAGCCUAAAACUGACCUAAAUCACUCUUUAACUGGACUAGAAGGGUCUGUUGACGGCAAAUCACCUCUAUUAGGUUUUGACCAACAAGAAAGGAAUAUGUAGUUUUGGAUUGGGGUAUGGUGUUUCGUUUUUCGUGGUUGCUAGGAUUGACCUAAACUGAAGAGGUUAGUCUGACGUAUCAUAAAGUUUUUAGUUUUUAUAUAAAUUGUAUCUGAAGUGACUGUAAUUUUUCUCUCUUUCAUGUAGGGUAAGUUGUGGAUUGCAGAUAGUGAUUUCUGGGAUCCUGAUCAAGCCAUCAGCAGUUUCCUGUUGUAUCAUGAGAAGACCGUACCAAUAAAAAGGUUACCUCUUU